GAUGAACGCUGGCGGCGUGCCUAAUACAUGCAAGUCGAGCGAACAGACAAUGAGCUUUCUCUUCUGCCGUUAGCGGCUGACGGGUGAGUAACACGUGGAUAACCUUCCUCUUUGACUUGGAUAAUUUCGGGAAACCAGUUAUAAUACCGGCUCAUAUAUUGAACCGCAUGGUUCAAUAGUUCUACACGGUUUUCCUGUCUCUUUUAGCUGAUUUCGCGCCGCAUUAGCUAGUUGGUAAGGUAACGGCUUACCAAGGCGACGAUGCGUAGCCGACCUGAGAGGGUGAUCGGCCACACUGGAACUGAGACACGGUCCAGACUCCUACGGGAGGCAGCAGUAGGGAAUAUUCCGCAAUGGGCGAAAGCCUGACGGAGCAACGCCGCGUGAGUGAUGAAGGUCUUCGGAUCGUAAAACUCUGUUAUUAGGGAAGAAAAAAUGUGUAAGAAAAUAUGCACGUCUUGACGGUACCUAAACAGAAAGCAACGGCUAACUACGUG
rnacentral:rRNA from 1 species